rnacentral:rRNA from 1 species
AAACCAGCACCUCAAGUGGUCAGGAUGAUUAUUGGGCCUAAAGCAUCCGUAGCCUGUUCUGUAAGUUUUCGGUUAAAUCUGUACGCUCAACGUACAGGCUGCCGGGAAUACUGCAGAACUAGGGAGUGGGAGAGGUAGACGGUAUUCGGUAGGAAGGGGUAAAAUCCUUUGAUCUAUUGAGGACCACCUGUGGCGAAGGCGGUCUACCAGAACACGUUCGACGGUGAGGGAUGAAAGCUGGGGGAGCAAACCGGAUUAGAUACCCGAGUAGUCC